rnacentral:rRNA from 1 species
UACGUAGGGGGCAAGCGUUGUCCGGAAUUAUUGGGCGUAAAGAGCGCGUAGGCGGUCCGAUAAGUCGGCUGUGAAAGUCAGGGGCUCAACCCUUGGAAGCCGGCCGAUACUGUCGGACUAGAGUCCGGAAGAGGCGAGUGGAAUUCCCGGUGUAGCGGUGGAAUGCGCAGAUAUCAGGAGGAACACCAAUAGCGAAGGCAGCUCGCUGGGACGGUACUGACGCUGAGGAGCGAAAGCGUGGGGAGCGAACAGG